GCGCGGUUAGCUCAGUUGGUAGAGCAUCUCAUUGACGUUGAGAGGGUCAGAGGUUCGAGUCCUCUAUCGCGCACAA
rnacentral:tRNA from 3 species